ACUUCACGGAAAACGAGGGAAUGAGGAAGAGACAGACGAAGCAGCCACGCUGGUCCGGGAUUCUCUCAUUCUGCUGCGCUCAGCUGAGCUUGGUCUAUUCUUUUCCCUCCCUCUCUCGCUGACUCUUUCUCAUCGAUUCCCUCCAACCGUUCGCCCGUCCGAGAACAACUGCGCUUGAUCUCUCCCGGCCGUCGUUUUCUGGUCCUCUCCUGUGUACACACACACACACACGCGAACGCACAUAGACCGUCAAGACUUCUCGUUCCUCUUCCUUCUUUCACAUCCCAGACGAAGGCUGGGGUGUGUGCGGCGAGCAGGAGACGCGGACGAAGCGGAGAGAAAUGAAAGCACAAAGCAGCAAAACGCAUCAGCAUGAAUAUUAGAGAUGUCGUUAAAAUCCGGACUCGUUUUUCUCUCUCUCUCUCUCUCUCUCUCUCCCUCUCUCUCUCACUCUCUCUCUCUGCCUUGCUCACUCUCUCUCUCUCUCUUUAGCUCAUUGUGAAACAGGAGGUCCAGCAGAGGGUGCUAGCUGUUAUUACAUUAACUUUCACAACUUAACCCCAAAAAUACUGAAUUUCUCUACUUGCCAGGCACAAAAUGCACUACAGCAAGCGUUUAAGGAAAUGAAUACACAUACACAUAUAUUCAACAGCUAAUUUGCAUCAAAGCAUUGUUUUGACCUAAACAAGUAAUACAAAUCACAAUUAUAAUUUGAAACGCGUCAUACUUAUGCCAGCGAUUCAAGCACAUACACACACAUACAGAAGAGGGGGCAGGUGGCAUUAGUUCAUUUGCUGCUGCCUGGAUACGCUCACAGGAAGUGACAAAAGAUACAACAGUGACAACAAGGGGAAAUGAGGUCAUGCCCUGACUUUCCCAAAGUGUGACAGAUUGGCCAUGUGCAACUGUGCACGUGCACUGCAACAAACCACUUGAGCCCAUGCACACACACAUGCAGCAAAAGUGAAAACAAGUGUAAGCACUAAGAAAAAAAAAAAAAAAAAAAAUAGGAGGAAAAACGUGCGUUUAUGACACCCCAAAUAAUAUGUCAGGCAUACAACCACAUCGGUGUUAUGACUAUUUACUAAAAAAAAACAAAAAAAAAAAAACACACAUUAAAAUUGGGUCAUCUUAGCUUAAGAAUCUUGCGGAGUAGCAAAGAGAUUAGCUGUGGUUAAGCCGAGCCUUGAGACUGGAGUAAGAUCAACUUCUGCAAGGUUAAAUUAAGGCAGGACAAUACAUGCGAACUAAAAGCAAUCUGAAACACUCCUUCUCAGUAGGUGGCACAUAAGUAUAUCCGUGUCUCUGUUAGUUCUUGUGAAUGUUUCUCAUCCGGCAGUAUGCUAUUUUUUUUUUACAUUUUAUGUGACAGAGAAAGAGAGAUAACAAAACAGAGACAGGAAAAAAAAAAAAAAAAAGACAGAGAGAUAACAAGGCCUUGAAGUUUGGACUGGUGGAAACAGCUCAGAAACCUCCAUAAAAUGGCAUACAAAUACAGAAAUACUAAAAUAUAAAAAUAAUACAAAUUAACAUAUGCCAACCUAAAUUCUAUCAUUAAAUUAUAAAACAUGUCAACGUUUUUAGUGACAUUUCAUAGGUGCAGUUGUUUUUUUACUGUACAAUCUGUAUUUUCUAUUUCCUUAUCCUACCCCUACUCCUAAAUCUGCCCACUUGCACAAAGCGUUCUGCUAUUUUAGAGAUUUAGAUUAAAAAAACAAAAC